rnacentral:tRNA from 1 species
GAGGGUAUAGCUCAGUGGUACAGCACAUGCUUGCAUACAUAAGGUUCUGAGUUCAAUCCCCAGUACCUCUA